rnacentral:rRNA from 1 species
CCUACGGGUGGCAGCAGUGGGGAAUAUUGGGCAAUGGGCGCAAGCCUGACCCAGCAACGCCGCGUGAAGGAAGAAGGCUUUCGGGUUGUAAACUUCUUUUCUCAGGGACGAAGCAAGUGACGGUACCUGAGGAAUAAGCCACGGCUAACUACGUGCCAGCAGCCGCGGUAAUACGUAGGUGGCAAGCGUUAUCCGGAUUUACUGGGUGUAAAGGGCGUGUAGGCGGGAAAGCAAGUCAGAUGUGAAAACCAUGGGCUCAACCUGUGGCCUGCAUUUGAAACGGUUUUUCUUGAGUGCUGGGGAGGCAAUCGGAAUUCCGGGUGUAGCGGUGAAAUGCGUAGAUAUACGGAGGAACACCAGUGGCGAAGGCGGAUUGCUGGACAGUAACUGACGCUGAGGCGCGAAAGCGUGGGGAGCAAACAGGAUUAGAUACCCUUGUAGUC